UACGAAGGGGGCUAGCGUUGUUCGGAAUUACUGGGCGUAAAGCGCGCGCAGGCGGUUCUUCAAGUCAGUGGUGAAAGCCCGGAGCUCAACUCCGGAACUGCCAUUGAAACUGUAGAACUGUAGGAUGAGAGAGGUGAGUGGAAUUCCCAGUGUAGAGGUGAAAUUCGUAGAUAUUGGGAAGAACACCGGUGGCGAAGGCGGCUCACUGGCUCAUUUCUGACGCUCAGGCGCGACAGCGUGGGGAUCAAACAGG
rnacentral:rRNA from 1 species